GACGAACGCUGGCGGCGUGCCUAAUACAUGCAAGUCGAGCGGACGGAUGGGAGCUUGCUCCCAGACCGUCAGCGGCGGACGGGUGAGUAACACGUGGGCAACCUGCCUGUAAGACUGGGAUAACUCCGGGAAACCGGGGCUAAUACCGGAUAACUCUUUCCCUCACAUGAGGGAAAGCUGAAAGAUGGCAUCUCGCUAUCACUUACAGAUGGGCCCGCGGCGCAUUAGCUAGUUGGUGAGGUAACGGCUCACCAAGGCGACGAUGCGUAGCCGACCUGAGAGGGUGAUCGGCCACACUGGGACUGAGACACGGCCCAGACUCCUACGGGAGGCAGCAGUAGGGAAUCUUCCGCAAUGGACGAAAGUCUGACGGAGCAACGCCACGUGAGUGAUGAAGGUGUUCGGAUCGUAAAACUCUGUUGUCAGGGAAGAACAAGUACCGGAGUAACUGCCGGUACCUUGACGGUACCUGACUAGAAAGCCACGGCUAACUACGUG
rnacentral:rRNA from 1 species